UACGUAGGGGGCAAGCGUUGUCCGGAUUCAUUGGGCGUAAAGAGCUCGUAGGCGGCUUGGCAAGUCGGGUGUGAAAACUCCAGGCUCAACCUGGAGACGCCACCCGAUACUGCCAUGGCUUGAGUCCGGUAGGGGACCACGGAAUUCCUGGUGUAGCGGUGAAAUGCGCAGAUAUCAGGAGGAACACCGGUGGCGAAGGCGAUGGUCUGGGCCGGUACUGACGCUGAGGAGCGAAAGCGUGGGGAGCGAACAGG
rnacentral:rRNA from 1 species